CUACGGGAGGCAGCAGUGGGGAAUCUUAGACAAUGGGGGAAACCCUGAUCUAGCCAUGCCGCGUGAGUGAUGAAGGCCCUAGGGUCGUAAAGCUCUUUCGCCAGGGAUGAUAAUGACAGUACCUGGUAAAGAAACCCCGGCUAACUCCGUGCCAGCAGCCGCGGUAAUACGGAGGGGGUAGCGUUGUUCGGAAUUACUGGGCGUAAAGCGCGCGUAGGCGGAUUAGAAAGUUGGGGGUGAAAUCCCGGGGCUCAACCCCGGAACUGCCUCCAAAACUACUAGUCUAGAGUUCGAGAGAGGUGAGUGGAAUUCCGAGUGUAGAGGUGAAAUUCGUAGAUAUUCGGAGGAACACCAGUGGCGAAGGCGGCUCACUGGCUCGAUACUGACGCUGAGGUGCGAAAGUGUGGGGAGCAAACAGGAUUAGAUACCCUGGUAGUCCACACCGUAAACGAUGAAUGCCAGUCGUCGGGGCGCUUGCGCUUCGGUGACACACCUAACGGAUUAAGCAUUCCGCCUGGGGAGUACGGUCGCAAGAUUAAAACUCAAAGGAAUUGACGGA
rnacentral:rRNA from 1 species